rnacentral:piRNA from 1 species
UGACUAGAUAGGAUUUAAGGAUGGCUC